AGGGUGUGCUUCUUCCUAGAGACGUACCGCCUCCUCUCUCGGCUUCUGUGGUUGUUUUCAGAGUUUACAAGUUUUGACCCGCCACGGAAGAUCUGUCAAGUCCAAUCCCUAGACCCACAUCGUCAAAAAUCCAUCUUCCUUUGCCAAAAACCCUACCUUUCUCCUUCUAGAGCCUGCCGAUCUUCUCUGUUCAAAAAUCUCCACUUUUUUCCUUCUCUGAAUCCAAAUAAGGUAAGUGAUGGAUGAUUCAAACGAUCAGAAAUAUUACAAGUAUCACCCGUAUCAGGAUCUCUACCACGUCCCAGCUCCAAGCCUGUAUAAUUUGCCCACUUCUCCCGAGUACCUUUUUGAUGAAGAAGCUGCACAUCAGCGCCGCAGCUGGAGUGAAAACCUUCAAUAUUACACUGGAACCGGCUACUUAUCUGGAGCGAUUAUUGGGGGGGCUAAGGGUUCUUUUGACGGCAUCCGCUCCGCCGAGCCUGGUGACACCAUGAAAUUGCGGAUCAACAGGAUUCUGAAUUCUGGUGGACAUGUGGGUCGGAAGUUUGGGAACAAUUUGGGUGUUUUGGGGCUGAUGUUUGCUGGCCUUGAGAGCGCUUUGAUUCACUAUAGAGACACUGAUGAUUUGCUCAAUACGGCUCUCGCGGGGCUCGGGACUGGGGCGAUUUAUCGUGCAGCAAGGGGACCGAGAUCGGCGGCUGUCGCAGGGGCCAUUGGAGGGAUUGCGGCUGCUGCUGCUGUUGCGGGAAAGCAGCUGGUUAAGAGAUACGUACCCAUAUAAAAAUUGCAAAUUUUUGUUUUGUGUUUAUCGGGAGGGGCCUUGUUUAGGCAGAUAUGGGAUUCGAGGGUUUUUCUUAGGUGGCAACGUUAAGUGAUUUCAUUAGAGGAUUUUGGUAUAAAUUGGUUCGUUUCUUGUAACAAGUUAUUGUUGUUUCAUAAUCCAAUUCACCGACUCGGCAUUUCUUGAACGUCCUGUUCGAUAAUUGAUAGGAGUAAAAUGGGAUUAUUGCUGCUGAUUAUUAUUGUUAUCUUGCAAUCUCAUGGUCUUUCCUCGCUGACAUGUUCCUGUUUGAUGAAAAUUUGAUUUGUUGGUUGAACUUCUGUAGUUUUGUAUUGAAACGUCAGUAUUUAAGUGUUAUGGGGUGAUUCUAAUUUAGAAUACCAUUGCCGCUGUCAAGGUUUGAUAUCUGAUCGAAUGGGGAAAACAGUCAGAUAUUUGGGACAAGUUCCAGAUUGUCUUGAACACCAUUUGAUCUUUUAUGAAAACAUUUAUAAAGUUAACUUGUUGGGGAAAACAGUUGUUCCAAAUUGGAAAAAUACUGAUCAAAUGCUGUUCAAGCUAACUUGUUGGAGAUGUUUGAACUUGUCAAGCAAAAUGAAAUGAAAUGAUGAUUGGACUAACAAUGUUCAAUGACUCCAACAUUACAUUUCAAUUGUCUAAUUGAUGACACAUCUUACCUAGAGAAGACAACAUUUGGCAUUGUCACACAAAUGCUCUGACUAUUCUCAUCCAUUUGCAUAAUUUAAUUACAAAAUUCAUCAAUUGGCCUAUCAUUUAAAAAAAAAAAAUCAUUUGCAUAAUUUAAGAUUAUUAAUACUUGAUUUAUCUUUCCCAUCUCUUUUGACUCCUUCAAUUCAACCACUGCAAAGUCUCUUCUAUUGUUUUUCUUAAUGGAAUAGCUAACAUAUAUAUAUAUUUGUGAAAUUUUUACUUUGUAAGCUCUAUGAUUUUAUCUUUAUAUUGCUAAUCUUCUAGAUUUUUUUUCCAUUUAAACAUUAAAUAAAUUACAUAACAAAACAGUCGUCUUUCCUUACGUAAUUCCCUCAUUUUAUUUAAUUUAACAGAAUUUAAACAAAAAAUUGUCUACUCUUAUUAAAAAAUUGUAUUCUUUUUUUAUUAAUAAGAUUAGUAUAAGUGGUAAAGGACUAUGUAUCCCUUAAGUAAGAUUAAGUAUUCGAUCCUCUCGUAAUGGACCUCCUCGAAGUGAGUAAAUCUAAUUUAAUGAAUUAAAAGAUACUUGUAGUU
rnacentral:misc_RNA from 1 species